rfam:Bacillus sp. TS-2 DNA, contig: BspTS2nb16.
GGGGACGUUACGGAUUCGACAGGCAUAGGUCGUGCUUACGUGGCGAGUCGAGGGGGUCGGCCUCGUUAAAACGCCAAAGCCAAUAACUGGCAAAACAAACAAUAACUUCGCUGUAGCUGCCUAAUAGCACUACGCGGUUCCACCCUCCAUCGCCCAUGUGGUAGGGACUGGGACUCACUUUAGUGGGAUACGCUGGCUGCCCGCCGUUUGAGGGCGAAGGAAGAGAAUAAUCAAACUAGCCAUACGGAAGCCUGUUGUUGGGCCGACGUACUGGCGAAUCACUAAUACAGCAACUACACUCGUAGAAGCGUAAGUGUCGUUAUGUUUGGACGUGGGUUCGACUCCCACCGUCUCCAUCA